rnacentral:rRNA from 1 species
GGGUCAAGUGACCAAGCGCACACGGUGGAUGCCUUGGCGAUCACAGGCGAUGAAAGACGUGGCAGCCUGCGAAAAGCUGCGGGGAGCUGGCAAACAAGCAUUGAUCCGCAGAUCUCUGAAUGGGGAAACCCACCCGCAAGGGUAUCGGCUUCUGAAUCCAUAGGAAGUCGAAGCGAACCCGGGGAACUGAAACAUCUCAAUACCCGGAGGAACAGAAAUCAACCGAGAUUCCGUCAGUAGCGGCGAGCGAACGCGGAACAGCCACCAGCACGUAGCCAUCCGGUUAGGAGAACGGUCUGGAAAGGCCGGCCAUAGUGGGUGACAGCCCCGUAUCCGAAAACCCGAUGGUGGAACUAAGGCUGGAACAAGUAGGGCGGGGCACGUGAAAUCCCGUCUGAACAUGGGGGGACCAUCCUCCAAGGCUAAAUACUCGUGAUCGACCGAUAGUGAACCAGUACCGUGAGGGAAAGGCGAAAAGAACCCCGGCGAGGGGAGUGAAAUAGACCCUGAAACCGUGUGCGUACAAGCAGUGGGAGCCCCGCAAGGGGUGACUGCGUACCUUUUGUAUAAUGGGUCAGCAACUUACUUUCAGCGGCAAGCUUAACCGGUUAGGGGAAGCGUAGGGAAACCGAGUCCGAAUAGGGCGAAUCAGUCGUUGGGAGUAGACCCGAAACCGAGCGAUCUAUCCAUGACCAGGCUGAAGGUGGGGUAACACCCACUGAAGGGCCGAACCCACGUCUGUUGAAAAAGCCGGGGAUGAGUUGUGGAUCGGAGUGAAAGGCUAAUCAAGCUCGGAGAUAGCUGGUUCUCCCCGAAAGCUAUUGAGGUAGCGCCUCGUGUCUCACUCCCGGGGGUAGAGCACUGUUUCGGCUAGGGGGCCAUCCCGGCUUACCAACCCGAGGCAAACUCCGAAUACCGGGAAGUGCAAUCACGGGAGACACACGGCGGGUGCGAACGUCCGUCGUGAAGAGGGAAACAACCCAGACCGCCAGCUAAGGUCCCCCAGUUCCGGCUCAGUGGGAAACGAUGUGGGAAGGCCCAGACAGCCAGGAGGUUGGCUUAGAAGCAGCCAUCCUUUAAAGAAG